rnacentral:tRNA from 1 species
GAUUGUAGCUCAGUGGUAGAACAUCUGUUUUGCAUGUAGAAGGUCCCAAGUUCCAUCCCCAGCAUCUCCA